rnacentral:lncRNA from 1 species
UCACCUCACACCCCAGAGACCCCUUCGUCUCCCUAAUCACCACCAACCGCUGGAAAUCGCCCACGGCGGCGGUCGACCACCAAACGCCCCAAAUCUCACACCAAAGCUCCCUCUCCCCUUCCUUAUCUUGAAUCCACCAUCAGCUCCCUUCAAAUCCCACAGGAAUCCCUCAAAACUCCGAAACCCUAGCCGCCGCCCUUGUUUUCUCCAAUGGCGGUGUCGACUCCUAUCCUCACCAAAAUUACACCCCGGGACCUCCACGAACCCCUCUUCCCAAAUCCCAUAUCAGUUUCCUUCGAACACCCUUGAAUCCUCUCGAAUCUGGAUUUGAAGACGAACCCUAGAAAUUCCAAAAUCCUGAAUCGAGUGUUCGUUGAAUUUUUACGGUCUAAAUUGAUUUUAUUCGUGUGUUCUUGUUAAGAACACACGAUUAACUUCAAAAUCGGUCAGAACUCGGAUGAUUUGAAGACCCAGGCUCCCUCUUUCAUUUCUCGAACCUUUUCGUGGGUACUUUCUUUUCUUUCUUCGGUUUAGUCUUUUCUUCAUUUGUUUUUCUGCUUUCUGCUUCUUCCCGUGCUUUUGAAAAUCUUAGUUUUCUAAUUUUAGAGUGUUAAUUACAUGCGCGUUAGUUUUUUUGUUAAGAAGUUUUCUUUUCUUUAAGUAGUUUAAGAAUUUGUUAAUAAUUUAGUUCAAAUUUCAUUAAGUGCUUAGUUGCAUCAAUUGGAAUAAGUAGAAAUUUUGCCCGAAUUGUUUUUGUUUCUGUGGAUUUCAUUUAGAGUUGGGGUUUGUUAGUAAAUACUAAAUUGGGUUGGUUUCAUGUUGGGUUUGAAAGCCCAAAGAAAGAGGUCAGUCCAGGUUGGGGUUAAAUGUUGGGUCAACUUGACCCAUGAGCUGAAAGGUAGCUAGUUAACCAAGGUAAUAACAGGGUCAUUAAGGGGUAAAUUGGGAAACUUGGGUAGGGAAUAUUUUUCUAACUAACUAGGAAGCUUCUAGGAAGUUGGGGAGGGAGACUAUUUUGAAGUUCUGAGAUUUAAAAGAGGGAUGCCUCAGCUAAAAUGAAAAUUUCAGAAGGUUUUAAGUACAAAAAUUGAUCCCUUAAGGCUGCCCUACUUGCCUUGCCUAUAAAGUUAGUCUUUCUUGCCUUUCAAGGCAGAGACUUUAAGGGAGGAACAUUCUGAAAAAUCAGAGAAAAAAGGAGAGCAAAAAAUUCCAGAAAUAUAAAAAUGGCAGCUUCUUUAUAAGUCAAAAUAUAACUUGGAAAUCUAGGGAAUUUCUGAAAAGUAUUGAAAGUCCUGCUUAGUUUUUGCUUUUCUGAUCUGAUUAACUUGGUUGAAAUGACUGAAAACUCAAGGUUUUGGUUCUGAUUGUGGAAUGAGUUGAGUUUGGUUAUCUUUGGAAAUUGUUGGUUUACGUUUGGUAUUUUGGUUAUUGUUUCAUCAAUUCUGGGCACUGUUCCUCUGUUAUCUGCUGCUGCUUGGCUGUUGAUCUCACCUCUCUUAUUUCCUUUCAUUUUUCAGGUAUGUUUUAACACUUUAGAACAUGUGAGAUGUGAAAGAUGUAGCCCUGUGGUUGAUAGUGAAUGAAUUGAUUACUGAAGAACUAUUCAUGUGUGUUUUGUCCAAAUUAAUUUGAUUGCUUGAAUAAAUUUUGCGUUCAGUUAUGAUCAAGCCAUGUAUGUUAAGGCUAUGCUUGAACUUUGGUUUCUUAUUUUAACUCUAGCUUAACUAAGAUUCCCUAUCAGAUAAUCAUGUAUUGGGGCUGUUAUGAUGGAUGCUACUAUGAGUCUAUUUGAGUUCUGCACCUAUAAUUGGUGUUUAGAUUUGAUGAUAUGAGUUAAUCACUAGAAUUGUUAUGAUUGGAAACUCUACAGUUCAUGUAAUUGGUUUGAAUAAUAGCGGCGGGUGCCGAAAUAUGUCUAGUUUUAUCU